UUGGAACCCCUAGAUAUUAUCUCUGAAGUGAAAAGCAUCCAAAAUUCCUGAAUCCAUUUCGUAAAAUCUUUCUAAUGACCACCACUACCAGAACUCAAUUUUCUUUUCGAUCCAAACCCUAAUAUUAUCUCCGACUCUGAAGUGAAAACCAUUCCAAAUUCCUGAAUCAAUUUCGUAAUUUUUUUCUAGUUUCUUUAAAAUUUCUUUGCAAUUUCAAUUUUUAAUGUAUGAGAUUCGAGCACGAUUGGUUCAUCAUGAGCAGGAAAGUUAUGUAAUGAUUUGGACAUUCGGUUUGGGCGGAAUCGGAAAAGGAUACUGUUUACCAAAGGACAGCUACGGGAUCAUUCACUUAUUCUGUUGAUGGUGGAUCGUUCAUCCGUAGUAUCUUGGCCUGUUCUAUGGCAUAAACAUACCCGAUCUACUAUUCUUUUUGCGUCAGGAAUAUUAUUUUUUUUCAAUUUCCAAGGUUUGCUUUCUUUUCUAUUUCGAAUUUCUCCCUUUUAGGUUGAUUUUGGUAUUUGUGGAUCUAGAUUCAUUUUGUUGCUGUUUUAGAGAGAUUCAUGUGUUGUGUAUUGCCUGGGGGUGAAGCAUUUAGGGAUUUUUGCUUAUUUCUAUUUUAAAUUACCCUUUUUCAAUUUUGUUGUUAAUGUCCAUAAUUCAUAGUUGGUAGCUUUGGUGUAUUCAUGUCAUUUUGAUUUUUAUUGUAUCUGUGUGCAUAUCAAUGGAUUCCUUCUGAAUUUGUAAUUUUGAGUUAUUAUAGAUCUAUUAAGUUUUUACAUUAAUAGAUUUUUAGUUAAUAGAGCUAAGAUUGGGUCUUCUUCCCGGUGGUUUCCUUAAAUCAUCAUAGAUUAACAAGAAGAGGGCAUUUUCCGAAACGGUUCACAUACCUUACCUAUAUAUACAGGAAGGAGUUACAGUGGAUCUUGAGGAAGAAAAAGUGCAGUAAUGUUGAUAAAAUUAUUCCAUUUUCUUUUGGAUACUUGGCAUGCCUCUACGGGUCUAUGAAUGCAGAUGGAUCCGUGUCAUGCAAGCUUUUCUUAUUUGAAAAAUGACAGAAAGAAUCAAAUAAUAGAUCUUAUCAGUUGCGGAUUCCAGUGUCCUAUGUGUGACAGACAUGACAAAUUGGAGAAAUGUUCAAAUAUACUGUUGCCCAACAAGCAAAGCUUAGAGAAUUGCUCCGACCAUCACUUAGAUAUUCUAUUGUCUCUAUUUCCUGAACUUCUUUAUGAUGAUUCAUCUGAAGAGGCUCAGGCUGCAUGUAUGAGAGUUAUUCCGCGGAUCCUCAUGCACACGCCUCAAGACUUUCUUAAGACAAAGCAUAAGUUCACUAAGGAAACUGAUAUGGCGUCACUACUUUCUAUGCUACCAGGAGUCUUUGCUCUUGCACUUCUCCAAGAUAAUAAAGGGCAGCAAGACUACAGCAGUAUACACCAUCUCCUAAGAAACAAACUCAAAACGAACAAAAACAGGUUGGAGCAACCUGAAAGUGCUGGACCUAUGGGUCAAAAUAUCUCAUUGCGAUCUGACAAACCAGUACUACCUCAAACUGCAGUCUAAGAGAGUUGCUGAUAAUGCUAAACCGGCACGAAAGGGAGUAAAGCAGAAAUUGGGAUCAGGCCAUGUCCCAAUGUUCGAAUCAGGGAUGUGGAUGAUACUUUUUUAGAUAUGGAGGCAGGAUUUGAAGAUUUACAGUCCGACAUAGCUACAGAAGAGGAAAAGAUGGGGUUGGAAAGUGAUAUAAUGAUGUGGUAGAAGAAGACAUGGGAAUGGAGAAUGAUGUCGGUGUUACUGCUGAUAAGGAUACGGUCAGGCAACACCAUGAUAAAUUCCGAGGCAAGGAAGGUGCAAUCAUUAAAUUCAAGGCACCGAGAUAAGGGACGGGACUAUUAAAUCUCCGGUCGUAGUAGCAGCUGUUGACAUGGCUGUGCUCAAGGACGCUGUUGCUUUUGGAAAACAAGAAAACAGGCUAGAAGAGCAUCCCGUGUUUGUCGGACUGGUUUUCCUCGGGUUUUACGGCUAUGACAGUGACAUAUCUGUUGUUACCACAGAGUACAUGUUGUUUUGCAAAUACCAGAUGUGGACGAGUCCAUUUCCAGUGGUAGCUGGUAUUACCUCAAGCCUUGUCUGACGUCUUAAGCCCGUAAUGAGUAUAAUUGCAAGUUUCUAUUGUCAUGGUUAGAUUGGAUUAUGGCAAACUUUGGAGUGUUUUUGCCAUGUGGCCUGCACAUCUUCAUCAUUCUCAUUUAAAGUCCAUUUCCAGUGGUAGCUGGCAUUACCUCAAGCCUUGUCUGACGUCUUAAGCCCGUAAUGUGUAUAAUUGCAAGUUUCUAUUGUCAUGGUUAGAUUGGAUUAUGGCAAAACUUUUGGAGUGUUUUUGCCAUGUGGCCUGCACAUCUUCAUCAUUCUCAUUUAAAGUCAAACACUCCUACAUCUCCUGCAUCAACAAGAGGAUCCUGACUUGGAAAGAAAUAUUUUAAUUACUUGAAAAGGAAGUACAAAUGGGUUCUAUAUUGAUUUUGACAUUUGGCAUGAGCGGAAUCGGAAAUGGAGAUUUUGUAUCAGAUUAUGUUGUUGGGUUUAUGAGGUCCAAGGUCUGUAAACCUAAGGAAAAUGGUGGGUUAGGCAUUCACAGCUUGAAAUUGGUGACAGUCUUGUGAGUAAGAUUUAAUGUCCUGCUGCAUCAGCAGUACAUUUAUCAGUAACAAUUUUGACCAGCUGAGUAAGUUAUAUGGUCGACAUCUUCGAUGAAGGUUUCGCAUAAGAUCCAUUAGAUAAUAGGAUAAUACCGAUUGUUGUAAUUAAACAAUGUUGUACUAGGUAGAGAUGAUUGAACACACUAGAACCUCCACACUCUGUUUCUUCUUUAAUUCCUUCAUGAUAACCUUACAGAAAAGAUCACAACAAUACGAAGAAACCCUAAAAUGAAAGCAACUAACACACCACAAAUUCAACAAUUAAGUUAGAUCAAAGAACUGUUUAACUAAAAAUAAUAACUCUCUUAGUUUAUUACUUUCAGCAUCCUAUCCUCAGAUACAAGCAGCCACCAGCAGGUACACACGACCAAAUGCUACUGAUAAUAAUCCCCACUCCCCUAGUUAAAUGACUACUUGUGCUUCAUGUUUUAUCUUUUCUAAUUCAUAUAGGGAUGUAUAAUACAGCAAGUAACUUGUUUGUACCAGAACAGGGACGAACACAAAAAUCUUGUAUGGGUAGGGCUGGAAUACCGGCAGUUGGCAAUGCGGCCGAAGGGCGCAAUUAUUUUUCGAACGAAUCGAAUAAUAACUCAUAUUUACAAUUGAAAUACUAGACAGAUAGACAAAUGAUCAAAAGGUAAGCAAGAUGUAUGGCGAACGCGAUUGGACAAAGAAAUUUCUGAAUUAGGGAAAAAAACGAAAAAAUAAUUAUGUUUUAAAGAAGAUUUUUGUCUUAGUUUUCUCAUAACAUCGGGUAAAUACUCCAAAAAAGAACAAAAACAUGGGCUAAAGCUAAUUAGGCAAAGAAAAUACAUUAGCUAAGUUCAAUUAGGGGAGGG